rnacentral:rRNA from 1 species
UACGGAGGGUGCGAGCGUUGUCCGGAAUCACUGGGCGUAAAGGGCGCGUAGGCGGCUUCUCAAGCGUGUGGUGAAAGUCCGGGGCUCAACCCCGGAUCGGCCGUGCGGACUGGGGAGCUCGAGUUCUGUAGAGGCGGGUGGAAUUCCGGGUGUAGCGGUGGAAUGCGUAGAGAUCCGGAAGAACACCGGUGGCGAAGGCGGUCUGCUGGGCAGUUGCUGACACUGAGGCGCGACAGCGUGGGGAGCAAACAGG